CGAGCAAAUUUAAUAAUUACUUUAACAUAUAAAGAGGAAAGUCCGAACUCCUGAAAAAAGAUGCAAGAUAACAUCUUGAAAAUUUAAAUUUAUAGAAAGUAUAACAGAAAAUAUACAACUAAUUGAAAUGGUGAAAAAGUAUGGUAAAAGCAUACUUUGUUAUUUGAAAAAAUAGCAAUAGAUAAACCUCAUCUGGAGCAAGAUUAAAUAAAAUAUAUAAUAUAUUUUCAUAUUAAUUUGGGUAGAUCGCUAAAGAAAUAUGGUAACAUAAAUUCAUAGAUUAAUGAUUAUCUUCUACAAAAUUCGGCUUAUAAAUUUGCUCAUUUA
rnacentral:RNase_P_RNA from 1 species